rnacentral:rRNA from 1 species
CCUACGGGAGGCAGCAGUAGGGAAUUUUCCGCAAUGGGCGAAAGCCUGACGGAGCAAUACCGCGUGAGGGAUGACGGCCUGUGGGUUGUAAACCUCUUUUCUCAAGGAAGAAGUUCUGACGGUACUUGAGGAAUAAGCAUCGGCUAACUCUGUGCCAGCAGCCGCGGUAAUACAGAGGAUGCAAGCGUUAUCCGGAAUCACUGGGCAUAAAGCGUCUGUAGGUUGUUUAGUAAGUCUGCUGUUAAAGACUGGGGCUUAACCCCAGAAAAGCAGUGGAAACUGCUAGACUCGAGUGUGGUAGAGGUAGAGGGAAUUCCUAGUGUAGCGGUGAAAUGCGUAGAUAUUAGGAAGAACACCAAUGGCGAAGGCACUCUACUGGGCCAUAACUGACACUGAGAGACGACAGCUAGGGGAGCAAACGGGAUUAGAUACCCCGGUAGUCCUAGCCGUAAACGAUGGAUACUAGAUGUUGCACGUAUUAACCCGUGCAGUAUCGUAGCUAAGGCGUUAAGUAUCCCGCCUGGGAAGUACGCUCGCAAGAGUGAAACUUAAGGAAUUGACGGCUGAGACGNGCGACGACGACGACGAGGAGAG